ACAGGAAACGUCGUCUGCUGAAUCGGCUCGAAAUGUGCAACUAUUUCCGAGCGCUGUUGUAGAGAAUUAAAUUAUCUUUCAAAUGAGAUGAAAGCGAUUGUAGUACGGUCCAUAGGUUUUGAGAUAGUCAGUUUCAAAUGUACAAAAAAGAGUUUAUUCCGCUAUCGACAGUAGAGCUUUUUAAAAAUACUCUUCAUUUAUGUUGGUAUAGCUUCGCUAAUUUUUAACGCUUAUCUCGCUUGUUGGUUUUUCAACUAAAAAAAUUUUUUUUUUUACAUUAUUUAAACCAAUCACCAUAGGAGAACGAAAGGAAGAGCAGAAGAUCAAAAUUCAAAAAGGAAUAUUAAAAUUAAUAAGAGUGCGAUGGGAAAUAAAGUGGCAACUUUCACUGAAGAGCAACUCGAAGAUUAUCAGGAUUGCACGUUUUUUACGCGCAAGGAAAUCUUGAGAAUAUUUAAGAGAUUUUGCGAAAUAGGAGAUCCUGGAAUGAUAUCGCGUACUAUGACACCGUAAGAAGCGUCGUUUCUCCGUUUAACUUUGUCAUAUUUAGCUCGUAUUAAUAAACUAAAGGUUUAUUUCAAAGGUUUAUUAAAUAUUAAUUUUAAACACAAUACAAAUACAAUAUGUACUAUAUAUAUUCAUGCUAUGG
rnacentral:misc_RNA from 1 species